UACAGAGGUCCCAAGCGUUGUUCGGAUUCACUGGGCGUAAAGGGUGCGUAGGUGGUGAGGUAAGUCGGAUGUGAAAUCUCGGAGCUCAACUCCGAAACUGCAUUGGAAACUACCUUGCUCGAGGGUUGGAGGGGGGACUGGAAUUCUCGGUGUAGCAGUGAAAUGCGUAGAUAUCGAGAGGAACACCAGUGGCGAAGGCGAGUCCCUGGACAACUCCUGACACUGAGGCACGAAGGUCAGGGGAGCAAACGGG
rnacentral:rRNA from 1 species